CACUAAGAAGCUACACUGGGCAAAGCGUUAGCCUUUUAAGCUAAAGAAUGGUGACUCCCACCCACCCUUAGUGA
rnacentral:tRNA from 1 species